UCGGAUUCAUUGGGCGUAAAGGGUGCGUAGGCGGCGCGGUAAGUCGGGUGUGAAAUCUCGGAGCUUAACUCCGAAACUGCAUUCGAUACUGCCGUGCUUGAGGACUGGAGAGGAGACUGGAAUUUACGGUGUAGCGGUGAAAUGCGUAGAUAUCGUAAGGAAGACCAGUGGCGAAGGCGGGUCUCUGGACAGUUCCUGACGCUGAGGCACGAAGGUCAGGGGAGCAAACGGG
rnacentral:rRNA from 1 species